rnacentral:rRNA from 1 species
UACGUAGGGUGCAAGCGUUAAUCGGAAUUACUGGGCGUAAAGCGUGCGCAGGCGGUCGUGCAAGACCGAUGUGAAAUCCCCGGGCGUUAACCUGGGAAUGGCAUUGGUGACUGCACGGCUAGAGUGUGUCAGAGGGGGUAGAAUUCCACGUGUAGCAGUGAAAUGCGUAGAGAUGUGGAGGAAUACCAAUGGCGAAGGCAGCCCCCUGGGAUAAUAUUGACGCUCAUGCACGAAAGCGUGGGGAGCAAACAGG